rnacentral:rRNA from 1 species
AUUGAACGCUGGCGGCAGGCCUAACACAUGCAAGUCGAACGAGUGGCGGACGGGUGAGUAAUGUCUGGUAAACUGCCCGAUGGAGGGGGAUAACUACUGUAAACGGUAGCUAAUACCGCAUACCAUCUGCUGUGCCCAGAUGGUAUUAGCUCGUAGGUGGGGUAACGGCUCACCUAGGCGACGAUCCCUAGCUGGUCUGAGAGGAUGACCAGCGAAACUGGAACUGAGACACGGUACAGACGCGUACGGUAGGCAGCAGGGGGGAAUAUGGCAGAAUGGGCGCAAGACUGAAGCAGCCAUGGCGCGUGGAUGGAGAAGGCCUUCGGGUUGUAAAGAACUUUCAGCGGGGAGGCGUUAGCCGCAGAAGAAGAACCGGCUAACUCCGUGCCAGCAGCCGCGGUAAGAC